rnacentral:misc_RNA from 1 species
GGAUGGAUCAUUCCUGUUAAUUAUAACAACCAACCUAAGCACUUCAAUGACAUUAACAUCACUGGUUAAAUCAACAAUUAAUGAGAAUUAAAAACUCUCAGCGAUGGAUGACUCGACUCUCACACCGAGGAAGGACGCAGCAAACCGCGAUAAGCAGUAUGACUUGCGAAAUUUCGUGAUUCACCAGAUCUCUGAACGCAAAGGUACUUCUGGCCUCGGCCUGAAGUAUGUUUGGCUCGGUAUCACAUAGAUUUCUCCAAUCAAUUUCGAUUGAAUGGAUGACAUACAGUGUCUUUCCGUCACUGGCUAAAUGAUGCUACCUGUAAGAACUCAUACAGUGAAAUGUUGAGGUAACUACAGUAGGCUUCUCAAAUCAUGAUCCGAGCUCAAACAAGGCUACCCGCUGAAUUUAAGCAUAUAAUUAAGCGGAGGAAAAGAAACCAACUGGGAUUCCCGUAGUAGUGGCGAACGAAGUGGGAAAAGCCCGAGAUGUUAAUCCGUUUCUGACGGAGUUGUGCAUCGAGGUUAUAGCUAUUAAGAAACUGGAAAGAAGAUGCCUGGAAAGGCACGCCAGAGAAGGUGACAGCCCUGUUCUUAUUCCAGCUAUUCUUAAGUACAGCUUUAAUCUAAUGAGUCACGCUCUUUGGGAGUAGAGCGCAAAAUGGGUGGUAACCUCCAUCCACGGCUAGAUAACGGUGAGAGAUCGAUAGCAAACAAGUACCGUGAGGGAAAGUUGAAAAGCACUUCGAAAGGAGAGUUAAAAUACCUGAAAUCGCUGAGGGGGAA